rnacentral:tRNA from 1 species
UCAGCCUUCCAAGCUGAACACAGGGGUUCGAUUCCCCUUACCCGCU